CCUACGGGUGGCAGCAGUGGGGAAUAUUGGACAAUGGGGGUAACCCUGAUCCAGCCAUGCCGCGUGUGUGAAGAAGGCCCUCGGGUUGUAAAGCACUUUCAGUGAGGAAGAACGCCUGGUGGUUAAUACCCAUCAGGAAAGACAUCACUCACAGAAGAAGCACCGGCUAACUCCGUGCCAGCAGCCGCGGUAAUACGGAGGGUGCGAGCGUUAAUCGGAAUUACUGGGCGUAAAGCGCGCGUAGGUGGCUUGAUAAGCCGGUUGUGAAAGCCCCGGGCUCAACCUGGGAACGGCAUCCGGAACUGUCAAGCUAGAGUGCAGGAGAGGAAGGUAGAAUUCCCGGUGUAGCGGUGAAAUGCGUAGAGAUCGGGAGGAAUACCAGUGGCGAAGGCGGCCUUCUGGACUGACACUGACACUGAGGUGCGAAAGCGUGGGUAGCAAACAGGAUUAGAUACCCUAGUAGUC
rnacentral:rRNA from 1 species